GGGUUGUGAGGUUAAGCGACUAAGCGUACACGGUGGAUGCCUAGGCAAUCAGAGGCGAUGAAGGACGUGCUAAUCUGCGAAAAGCGUCGGUAAGGUGAUAUGAACCGUUAUAACCGACGAUGUCCGAAUGGGGAAACCCAGUGCAAUUCGUUGCACUAUCGUUUGAUGAAUCCAUAGUCAAACGAGGCGAACCGGGGGAACUGAAACAUCUCAGUACCCCGAGGAAAAGAAAUCAACCGAGAUUCCCCUAGUAGCGGCGAGCGAACGGGGAGCAGCCCAGAGUCUUAAUCAGCAUCAGCAUCAGGAGAACGGUCUGGAAAGGCCGGCAAUAAAGGGUGAUAGCCCCGUAUCCGAAGGUGUUGGUGUUGUGAACUCGACGAGUAGGGCGGGACACGUGUUAUCCUGUCUGAAUAUGGGGGGACCAUCCUCCAAGGCUAAAUACUCCUGAUUGACCGAUAGUGAACCAGUACCGUGAGGGAAAGGCGAAAAGAACCCCGGCGAGGGGAGUGAAAUAGAACCUGAAACCGUGUACGUACAAGCAGUGGGAGCCUUGAUUUAUCAGGGUGACUGCGUACCUUUUGUAUAAUGGGUCAGCGACUUAUAUUCUGUAGCAAGGUUAACCGAAUAGGGGAGCCGUAGGGAAACCGAGUCUUAACUGGGCGAAUGAGUUGCAGGGUAUAGACCCGAAACCCGGUGAUCUAGCCAUGGGCAGGUUGAAGGUUGGGUAACACUAACUGGAGGACCGAACCGACUAAUGUUGAAAAAUUAGCGGAUGACUUGUGGCUGGGGGUGAAAGGCCAAUCAAACCGGGAGAUAGCUGGUUCUCCCCGAAAGCUAUUUAGGUAGCGCCUCGUGAACUCAUCUUCGGGGGUAGAGCACUGUUUCGGCUAGGGGGUCAUCCCGACUUACCAACCCGAUGCAAACUACGAAUACCGAAGAAUGUUAUCACGGGAGACACACGGCGGGUGCUAACGUUCGUCGUGAAGAGGGAAACAACCCAGACCGCCAGCUAAGGUCCCAAAGUCAUGGUUAAGUGGGAAACGAAGUGGGAAGGCUCAGACAGCCAGGAUGUUGGCUUAGAAGCAGCCAUCAUUUAAAGAAAGCGUAAUAGCUCACUGGUCGAGUCGGCCUGCGCGGAAGAUGUAACGGGGCUAAACCAUGCACCGAAGCUGCGGCAGCGACAUGUAAAUGUUGUUGGGUAGGGGAGCGUUCUGUAAGCCUGUGAAGGUGUGCUGCGAGGCAUGCUGGAGGUAUCAGAAGUGCGAAUGCUGACAUAAGUAACGAUAAUGCGGGUGAAAAACCCGCACGCCGGAAGACCAAGGGUUCCUGUCCAACGUUAAUCGGGGCAGGGUGAGUCGACCCCUAAGGCGAGGCAGAAAUGCGUAGUCGAUGGGAAACAGGUUAAUAUUCCUGUACUGGUGAUAAUUGCGAUGGGGGGACGGAGAAGGCUAGGCUGGCCGGGCGACGGUUGUCCCGGUUUAAGGAUGUAGGUGGGCGAAUUAGGCAAAUCCGGUUCGCUAUACACUGAGGUCUGAUGACGAGUCACUACGGUGGCGAAGUAGCUCAUGCCCCGCUUCCAGGAAAAGCCUCUAAGCUCUAGAUUAUCAUUAAUCGUACCCCAAACCGACACAGGUGGUCAGGUAGAGAAUACUCAGGCGCUUGAGAGAACUCGGGUGAAGGAACUAGGCAAAAUGGUGCCGUAACUUCGGGAGAAGGCACGCUGGCAUUAGGUGAAGUGGUUUACCCAUGGAGCUGAAGCCAGUCGCAGAUACCAGCUGGCUGCAACUGUUUAUUAAAAACACAGCACUGUGCAAACACGAAAGUGGACGUAUACGGUGUGACGCCUGCCCGGUGCUGGAAGGUUAAUUGAUGGGGUUAUCCGUAAGGAGAAGCUCUUGAUCGAAGCCCCAGUAAACGGCGGCCGUAACUAUAACGGUCCUAAGGUAGCGAAAUUCCUUGUCGGGUAAGUUCCGACCUGCACGAAUGGCGUAAUGAUGGCCAGGCUGUCUCCACCCGAGACUCAGUGAAAUUGAACUCGCUGUGAAGAUGCAGUGUACCCGCGGCAAGACGGAAAGACCCCGUGAACCUUUACUAUAGCUUGACACUGAACAUUGAGCCUUGAUGUGUAGGAUAGGUGGGAGGCUUUGAAGUGUGGACGCCAGUCUGCAUGGAGCCAACCUUGAAAUACCACCCUUUAAUGUUUGAUGUUCUAACGUAGCCCCAUAAUCUGGGGUGCGGACAGUGUCUGGUGGGUAGUUUGACUGGGGCGGUCUCCUCCCAAAGCGUAACGGAGGAGCACGAAGGUUGGCUAAGCAUGGUCGGACAUCAUGCGGUUAGUGCAAAGGCAUAAGCCAGCUUGACUGCGAGAGUGACGGCUCGAGCAGGUACGAAAGUAGGUCUUAGUGAUCCGGUGGUUCUGAAUGGAAGGGCCAUCGCUCAACGGAUAAAAGGUACUCCGGGGAUAACAGGCUGAUACCGCCCAAGAGUUCAUAUCGACGGCGGUGUUUGGCACCUCGAUGUCGGCUCAUCACAUCCUGGGGCUGAAGUAGGUCCCAAGGGUAUGGCUGUUCGCCAUUUAAAGUGGUACGCGAGCUGGGUUUAGAACGUCGUGAGACAGUUCGGUCCCUAUCUGCCGUGGGCGUUGGAAGAUUGAAAGGGGCUGCUCCUAGUACGAGAGGACCGGAGUGGACGCACCGCUGGUGUUCGGGUUGUCAUGCCAAUGGCACUGCCCGGUAGCUAAGUGCGGAAGAGAUAACCGCUGAAAGCAUCUAAGCGGGAAACUUGCCUUGAGAUGAGUCUUCCCUGACUCUUUAAGGGUCCUAAAGGAACGUUUAAGACGAAGACGUUGAUAGGCUGGGUGUGUAAGCGUAGCGAUACGUUGAGCUAACCAGUACUAAUGAACCGUGAGGCUUAACCUGACAACACCGAAGGUGUUUUAG
rnacentral:rRNA from 1 species